rnacentral:tRNA from 1 species
UAACAAUAAUAUAAGAUUAAAAUUAACCUUCAAAGUUAUAUUACCAAAUCUUAUUUUUAU